CUCCAAGCUGGGCGGGUCGUCCUUGCCGGCUGGCACCUCGGGUAGCGAGCCCCGAGGGCAGAGGAGCCGGCUCCACCCGGCCUGGCCCCGAACCCUCCGCGGCGCCGGCCAAUCGCCGCUGCCAUCCUCCCGCUGGGGUGAUGUCUUCAGGUGUCCGGGAGGGGAGAAAGCCCUGCGUACUUCCAGCCCCGCUCCUGUGCCAGGAACCGGCGGCCCUCCGAGCCCUCCGGAGCCGGCCUCCGGGCCCCGAGCGCGGCGAGGCAAGCAGGGGCGGCGAAGGGUCCGGGUGGGCGGCGGCUACCCGCAGCCCAAAGGCGUGGGCCUGCGAGGCGGGCGGCGCGCGGCCAGGGAUGGGCAGCAGCGGGGUACCGAGGCGCCGAGGCCUGGACGCGGGCGCGGCGCGGAGGCCUCGGCGUCCCCAGCCGGGUGUGGGGCGGCCGACUGACUGACGCCGGGCGGGGGCCGCCGACUGCCUCAGCCACUGCGCGGGGCGGGGGCGGCAGCGGCCUCUAGCCUCCCUCGUUCCCUCCCUAGUCCGCUUGCCCGCUCGCCCGCUCGCUCGCUCGCUGGUCCAUCCGCCUCCUCACCUUCAGGACCCGGAUCCCUCCCGGCCGGCGGCUCGCGGGCGCUUCGGGCGGCUCCGGGGGCUCCAGCGGGCCCGCGGGCCCCGGCUCCACCUCCCCCAUCGGCGACCCAGGAUUCACAGAGACGCCCGGCCCGCGCGACGGCGUGCGGAGCCUCGGCGGCGCGCGCGAGCAACCGGUGGCCCCGCCCCCCGCGGCCCGCCGGCUCCGCCCCUCCGGCGGCUCGCCAGCUCCGCCCCUCCCGCAGCCCCGCUGGACCUAAGCAGCUGCCGGCGCCGAGUGGCCCGGGCGCCACCGAGCCGCAUUCCGGCCGCGGCCCGCGUGGCGGAACCUGGCACCACCGCAGAGCGCUGGGCCUCCACUGCCCGCCGCCCUAGGCUUGGAGGACUAGAGCGCAAGGAGGGGUAUUUGCUGCUUUCCCCGCCCUCUAAGAAACCCGCGGGAGAAAGAAGCAGGUGGCGCCGGCACCUGUCAAUUGUGACAAGACGCUGCCCUCCGCCAGGGUGGCUCUUGUAACUUCCCUCACCUGCCAAGCCGUUGAACGAACUGUUGAGAAUACUCACCUUGGCAAGGCCUUUUCUCUUCCUUAUCAGAGAUGCGUGCGACCUUCUUAAGCAAAUUCAACCCAACCUCGUACAAAACGUCCGCUCACCUCCCAGCC
rnacentral:lncRNA from 1 species